rnacentral:rRNA from 1 species
UACGUAGGGGGCUAGCGUUGUCCGGAAUCAUUGGGCGUAAAGAGCGUGUAGGCGGCCCGGUAAGUCCGCUGUGAAAGUCGGGGGCUCAACCCUCGAAUGCCGGUGGAUACUGUCGGGCUAGAGUGCGGAAGAGGCGAGUGGAAUUCCUGGUGUAGCGGUGAAAUGCGCAGAUAUCAGGAGGAACACCAAUUGCGAAGGCAGCUCGCUGGGACGUAACUGACGCUGAGGAACGAAAGCGUGGGUAGCGAACAGG